GACGAACGCUGGCGGCGUGCCUAAUACAUGCAAGUAGAACGCAGUUGCGAACAGGUGAGUAAAGCGUAGGUAACUGCCUCAUAGGGGGGGGUAACUAAUGGGAACGAUAGCUAAUACCGCAUACUGUGAGAUGGACCUGCGUUGUAUUGGGUAGUUGGUAAGGUAAAGGCUGACCAAGGCGACUAUACAUAGCCGACCUGAGAGGGUGGUCGGGCAAAAUGGGACCUGGACACGGCCCAGACUCCUACGGGAGGCAGCAGUAGGGAAUCUUCGGCAAAGGAGGGAAGGCUGACCGAGCAACGCCGCGGGGUGGGAGAAGGGUUUCGGGUCGUAAAGCUCUGUUGUUAGAGAAGCGGUAACUAACGAGAAAGGGACGGCUAACUACGUGCCAGCAGCCGCGGUAAUUC
rnacentral:rRNA from 1 species